rnacentral:tRNA from 1 species
GGUCGGCUCGCCUAUCAGAGAGGGCAACUGUCUGUAAAACAGCCGCUAAAAGCAUUGCAGGUGCGAAUCCUGCCCGGCCU